rnacentral:rRNA from 1 species
GACGAACGCUGGCGGCGUGCUUAACACAUGCAAGUCGAACGGAAAGGCCCUGCUUUUGUGGGGUGCUCGAGUGGCGAACGGGUGAGUAACACGUGAGUAACCUGCCCUUGACUUUGGGAUAACUUCAGGAAACUGGGGCUAAUACCGGAUAGGAGCUCCUGCUGCAUGGUGGGGGUUGGAAAGUUUCGGCGGUUGGGGUUGGACUCGCGGCUUAUCAGCUUGUUGGUGGGGUAGUGGCUUACCAAGGCUUUGACGGGUAGCCGGCCUGAGAGGGUGACCGGCUCCAGAGGCAUAGGGGAGCGCGCAGUACCGCAUCGGGAGGAAGGGGCGGGAAAUUGGCGGAGAGGGGCGGCGUCAGGGAGGAAAAACGCCGGGUCGGGGAUGACGGCUUUGGGGGUGGAACCCGUUUGUGCGUGACGGGACGCGUGGGGACGGUACCUGGUAAAAAAGCCACGGCUAACUUCGUG